AUGAUAGUAUGUAAUGACAGUUCUAAAACCUGCCCCAAAUAAAUAAACAAUUAUCUUGAUACUUUGAGAUUGCUUGUAAAUGUUGUCGCCUACAGACAAAUGUCACCAUAAAGAAUAGUAACAAAAUUUUGAUGCCUUCUUUCAGCAUAUCUUUGAUACUUGGAAGGAGUUGCAUUGUAUCAGACUAAAAGUCUUCAUCCAUUUUAAAGAUGAAGUUUUUUCCACCAUCUUGAAGGCUUGACAUAACAGAUGCCUUCUGAUAAUCUCCUACCCUUCUCUCAAAAAAAUUUGCUUUCCCUUGCAAAGAUAUAAAUUCCAUCCAAUCAAAGGGGUUUUCCACAUUGUACUUUCUCUGAUAACCUAAAGCAACCAAAAGACGGUCAGCAACAAACU
rnacentral:misc_RNA from 1 species